GAUUUCACCAUUGUCAGGCCGGUAUAUCAUCUGUGCACACGAAAGGAAAGGGGUUUUUAAUGAGAUAUAUCCGUCUUUCCCAAGCAACUACAGGUUUACUCAGGUACUUAAAACACCACGUGCAUUGGGGUCUAGAGAAUUACCUCUGUCAAUCCCACCAUGCUGAUCUCAGGAUGAGUGAAACAAGCAGCCGGGAUGCUAAGAUGGUUAAGCACGUGAUCUCUACC